GCAAGGUCAGCUGCAAAGAACAGGAGCAAGGUCAGGUGGGUGUCCCGAGGUGCAUCGCGGCGACCACAGAGUUUAUGGGUCAGAGUUAGCAGCAAAAAACAUGGAGUUAGAAAGGGGUGAAGAAGCCGAAAGACCGGGCGACGCCGCCUUUGAGAGUAAUACUGGUUCCGGCUCCUCUUCCGCGCGCCAACAGUUACUAUAGUAACCAACCUGGGAGGUCGAGGAAAAGAUUUCCAAAGGAAUCCUUUUGACGCCAGCUCUGCUGCCAAGGAGCCGGGCACAGUCAGGAAUACAAAAUCCAGAGGGGAAGACGAGAAAAUGUACAAUCUCCUGGCAUUAGAACAAAGAAGCAAAUAACGUGCCACACCUAUCUGACUGGGCAUUGCGGUGACAUCACAGGACACCAUUAAACAAGCAGAGCUUGCUUUAAAAGAAAAAAAAUGGGUGGAGUUUGAUUUCCACACACCUGGGUUGGCGGUGCAACCCCGAGGCUCUCACGACUCAAGCACAGCUACCCCAACCAUUUUGAUCUCCCUGGUUUGAGCACUGAGCUUCAGAGAUCUUAUAUACUGCUCCCUGAAGUGCAGGCUGAUGCUGUGGGUAACAAGGUCCUUCCAGGACAGAUCCUUCAUGAGCUGCGUUUCAAAUGAAGAUGAAAGUAAGAAAGCAGGCCCUGGGUAUACCUGCCAAACAGGCAAAGUCCAGUUUCUCUCUCUCGCCCACCCACCUCUCCACGGAAAAGGCAGCCAGCCAAGUGUCAAGUUUCCAUCCUGAAUUACCACAACGUCGCCUCCUUGGCCCUUUAGGUGAUGUCCAGAGAUCUGAUCCCGUGAGUCACAGAUUCAAGUCUCUCCCACCUUAACGGAUGUUAAAAGACGUUGAGAGAGGACACUGACAUCAUAGUACGAUCAAUAGAUGGAACAAGGUUACAUUCAGCUACAGAGGAAGACAAAGACAAAGCAUUAGCACAUGCUAACGUCUGCAAACAAAACUGCUGUUAAAGCACAGGAGCAAGGGCCGCUACAAAAGUUGGCAAUGCUAGAAGUUUGUCUAUUGGCUCACCCCCCACCCCACCCCACUCCUCUGCUAGCACCUUUUCUCAAUACUGUUGUUCCUUGCUUGUAGAGAAAGAUUUAAGUAGUAACUGCCAACAGUACGGAUAGAUCCCAGCCCAAAGGAACAAAAUUUGUCCUCCAACUUACUAAACUUUAUUUCAAGAGUGGGGAACCUGUGGCCCAUCAGCCCUGACCAUUGCCCAUGCUGGCUGGGCCUGAGGGAGGCUGAGAGUCCAACAUCUGAGAGCCACAGGAUUUCCUCCUGUUUUAGUGCCUCUGCAACUUCAAUCUGGAGAAAGGCUACCACUAAAACCAGCCCCAAAACCUGUUCUAGAGGGCCCUACCCCCCAAGCCUGACUUCUCCCUAUCCUAAUGACAUAAUAAUGUUUUAUCCCUGCACUCACAGCCUGCUUCACAGGAGUGUUUCUGAGCAUGUGCAGAAAUCCUUUCCCACUCUAUUUAUAUACUCAGGUUUC